rnacentral:lncRNA from 1 species
GUCCUAAAUUUUCAUCAUCCUCAAUCCCUUGUUUUACUUCUGCAUCAGAUGUUUGAACCUUAUCAUGUUGAUCAGUAUAGCUAGUGGUGUUUACUUUGGCAGUGUCAUCAUCUACAUAUUGUUUUGUUUGUUCCUCUUCGUUAGGUUUUUUCUCUGUAAUGUCUUCAUCCAGCUGUAUCUGUUCUUCUUUAGUGUCAUCAACUCUUUCAGUUACGAUCGCUACUGAAAUUCCUAUUGGUUGCCGAAUUUGAUUUUCUGGAUAUUAAGAAUCAAUCAUUUACAUGAAUUCUGCUAUCUUAUUAUUUAAAUGCAUGUGCAGGUUCUUUGCAAAAUAAAAAAUAGUCGCAGUGGCUCAUAUAGCUCCCAUAUUUGCCAAGGAAUUACUGUACACAUUUUAUCGACCGGAUUUAGUAGUGAGUAAAACAGGCAUUUUCAUCUCAAUACUUGUUUUUAAAUUUCUAUAUACAAUAAAUUAUAUUUCUUUCACGCAAAGUACUGUUUAGUUUUAUUUUCUUUACAGUAUUGAAGUUUUUCUUUUGGUUAGUGUUUUUGAGUAAAAACCGGUUCUAAAAUUUCAAAACAUAGUUACCUUCGAUUUCUGACUUGUCGGUCUUGAAAUCAGCCAAUGUUUUGGAAUCUGUUUCUUCCUCUGCUUUAAUUUUUGUUGCAUCGCUGGUGGCUGAAUUCUCUGUUACUUUGCUGAUAUAGCUAGUGGUGUUUAUUUCGGCAGUGUCCUCAUCUACAAAUUGUGUUGUUUGUUCCUCUUCGUUAGGUUUUUUCUCUGUAAUGUCUUCAUCCAGUUGUAUCUGUUCUUCUUUAGUGUCACCAACUCUUUCGGUUACGAUCGUUAGUGCAAUUCCUAUUGGUUGCCAAACUUGAUCUUCUGGAUAUUAAGAAUCAAUGAUUUACAUAAAUAUUGGCAUCUUAUUAUUUAAGUGCAUGUACAGGUUUUUUGCAAAAUAGAAAAUAGUCCCAGUGGCUCAUAAAGCUCCCAUAUUUGCCAAGGAAUUACUGUACACAUUUUAUCGUCUGGAUAUAGUAGUGAGUAAAACAGCCAUUUUCAUCUAAACACGUGUUUUUAAAUUUCUAUGUACAUUAAAUAAUAUUUCUUUCACGCGAAGUAGUGUUUAGUUUUAUUUUCUUUACAGUAUUGAAGUUUUACUUUUGGUUAGUGUUUUUGAGUAAAAACCGGUUCUAAAAUUUCAAAACAUAGUUACCUUCGAUUUCUGACUUGUCGGUCUUGAAAUCAGCCAAUGUUCUGGAAUCUGUUCCUUCCUCUGCUUUAAUUUUUGUUGCAUCGCUGGUGGCUGAAUUCUCUAUUACUUUGCUGAUAUUGUCCUUGGUCUCGGGUUUUUCAGUUUCCUAGUUGAAUUUAUGAAAUGUUUGUGUGAAAUUUCUUUCAUAAGUUACGAAAAUUAUUGAUUUUAUUUUCAAAGGAGAUGCAAUAUAUGUAAAGUUUUACUAAUUUAAACCACUUAGGCCUAACCUGAGCAAAAGUGGUAUUUCUUCCAAGUUCAAUUUCUUCUAUGCAACUUUGCUUGACAUAAUCAAUAGCUUCUGAUUCAUCAACAUGCAGUAAUUCUUGCUGUAAGAUUUUUUCAGUGUCCAUUUGAACAGAAGCAGGAGUGAGUGUUAGGACUUCUUCCUUGGGUAACUGCAUUUUGCUUGAUUCUGCUGUAGCUUGGUCUUCUAUCUGUGGUCCUAAAUUUUCAUCAUCCUCAAUCCCUUGUUUUACUUCUGUAUCAGAUGUUUGAACCUUGUCAUGUUGAUCAAUAUAGCUAGUGGUGUUUAUUUCGGCAGUGUCCUCAUCUACACAUUGUGUUGUUUGUUCCUCUUCGUUAGGUUUUUUCUCUGUAAUGUCUUCAUCCAGCUGUAUCUGUUCUCCUUUAGUGUCAUCAACUCUUUCGGUUAAGAUCGCUAUUGAAAUUUCUAUUGGUUGCCGAACUUGAUCUACUGGAUAUUAAGAAUCAAUUAUUUACAUAAAUUGUGCCAUCUUAUUAUUUAAGUGCAUGUACAGGUUUUUUGCAAAAUAGAAAAUAGUCCCAGUGGCUCAGAAAGCUCCCAUAUUUGCCAAGGAAUUACAGUACAUAUUUUAUCGUCUGGAUAUAGUAGUGACUAAAACAGCCAUUUUCAUCUAAACACGUGUUUUUAAAUUUCUAUAUACAUUAAAUAAUAUUUCUUUCAAGCAAAGUACUGUUUAGUUUUAAUUCUUUACAGUAAUGAAGUUUUUCUUUUGGUUAGUGCUUUCGAGUGAAAACCGGUUCUAAAAUUUCAAAACAUAGUUACC